rnacentral:rRNA from 1 species
AGAGACAGCAGCAGCCGCGGGAAUACGGAGGGUGCAAGCGUUAAUCGGAAUUACUGGGCGUAAAGCGCACGCAGGCGGUCUGACAAGUCAGAUGUGAAAUCCCCGGGCUUAACCUGGGAACUGCAUUUGAAACUGUCAGGCUGGAGUCUUGUAGAGGGGGGUAGAAUUCCAGGUGUAGCGGUGAAAUGCGUAGAGAUCUGGAGGAAUACCGGUGGCGAAGGCGGCCCCCUGGACAAAGACUGACGCUCAGGUGCGAAAGCGUGGGGAGCAAACAGGAUUAGAUACCCGCGUAGUCCCUGUCUCUUAUAC